CCUACGGGAGGCAGCAGUAGGGAAUAUUGGGCAAUGGCCGAGAGGCUGACCCAGCCAUGCCGCGUGCAGGAUGAAGGCUUUCUGAGUCGUAAACUGCUUUUGCCAGGGAAGAAUAAGGGGGAUGCGUCCUCCGACGACGGUACCUGGUGAAUAAGCACCGGCUAACUCCGUGCCAGCAGGCGGUAAU
rnacentral:rRNA from 1 species